rnacentral:rRNA from 1 species
GUGUCAGCAGCCGCGGUAAUACGUAGGGUGCGAGCGUUGUCCGGAAUUAUUGGGCGUAAAGAGCUCGUAGGCGGUGUGUCACGUCGUUCGUGAAAACCUGCAGCUUAACUGUGGGCGUGCGGUCGAUACGGGCAUCACUGGAGUUCGGCAGGGGAGACUGGAAUUCCUGGUGUAGCGGUGAAAUGCGCAGAUAUCAGGAGGAACACCGGUGGCGAAGGCGGGUCUCUGGGCCGAUACUGACGCUGAGGAGCGAAAGCGUGGGGAGCAAACAGGAUUAGAUACCCCCGUAGUCC